rnacentral:lncRNA from 1 species
CCAUUCAUAGGAACCGUUUUUUUUUCGUUGCAACGCACGGACAUUUGUGCUAAUUUAAAAAAAAUAGAAUAAGAAUGUUAACCUAUCCGAUCUCUCCCAGAAAAAAUAACAUAUCGUGAUCAGAAAUUAAAAGACACAGUUCCAACGUGCGAAAUUCCUUUUCGAAGGAGAAAAACAUACAAAAUCCGGUCUACCAGCAAAACGGCAGAAUAACAGAGUACAGCUCGGUUCCUUGCCCGCACGUAUGCCACGCCGUACAAAUCUGCACGAUUUCGCGACUGCGUGCAGGCACGACUUGGCCCGAAGAUUGAACGAUAUAUGUUCCUCCUCAAUCAUCACCGGCUGAUCUAACCACCACACUGAUUGAUCCAAUCCGACGUAGUGCACACUAUAAAUCCACUCGCCCCAUGCCAUCUUCUGACAGAACUCAGCCAAGAAGAGAGCACUACUACAAGGCAAAGCGAAGCGAAGGCAAUGGCUUCUGCUGCGUCCAAGUCCAAGUCCGCGGCCGUCUUGGUCCUCCUCGUCUCCCUUGCCGGCGUGGCCACCACCGUGGACGCCAGGUUCAGGGCCAUGCAGUGGACUCCCGCCCACGCCACGUUCUAUGGCGACGAGGCUACGGCCGAGACGAUGGGUACGUAGCCUGCACUGCACACGUACUACAUUGGUCAAUGACCAUGCAUGCUUGUUUCUUGUUAUGCUAAUGUCUAGUUCUUGUGUUCUCGCAGGCGGGGCGUGCGGGUAUGAUAUCACGGCGGGGUACGGCGCGGACACGGCGGCGCUGAGCUCGACGCUGUUCCUGGACGGCUACGGGUGCGGGACGUGCUACCAGAUCCGGUGCCUGAAAGCCACGGCCUGCUACAGGGGCUCGCCGGUGAUCACGGUGACCGCGACCAACCUGUGCCCGCCCAACUGGGCGCAGGACACCAACAACGGCGGCUGGUGCAACCCGCCGCGCACCCACUUCGACCUCGCCAUCCCGGCCUUCAAGAAGAUGGCCGACUGGCAUGCGGGCAUCGUCCCCGUCAUGUACCGCAGGGUGCCGUGCAUGCGCAAGGGCGGGAUCCGGUUCGCGUUCCAGGGGAACCCGCACUGGCUGCUGGUGUACGUCACCAACGUCGGCGGCGCCGGCGACGUCGGGGAGAUGUGGGUGAAGGGCAAUGGCGGCAUGGGGUGGCUGAGCAUGAGCCACAACUGGGGCGCCUCGUACCAGGCGUUCGGGCAGCUCGGCGGCCAGGCGCUCAGCUUCAAGCUCACCUCGUACACCACCGGGCUGACCAUCAUCGCCGCCGACGCCGCGCCGGCGAGCUGGAGCAUCGGGCUCACGUACCAGGCUCGCGCCAACUUCAAAUAGGAGCCGAAGCGAAGGUCUGAGGCACGGCACAAGAAGCAGGGGCUGUGACACUGACAACGCUCUGCGGUGCUCUGCUGGGAUGAUCGUUGCCCUCUACCGUUUUUCGUUGCUUCGUUCCUUACUUUCUCUAGGACACCGUCGCGCGUUGCCCCUGUCCAUGUGAACCACGGGGGGGUUUGACGCACGACUGAUAGUGUAAAACUCUGCAGCACGAUCAAAGCAAAACAUUUGCAGGUUGUAUUGUGUCUAAAAACACCCUAGUUCAAUUAACUUUUCCGUGCAAUCAGAGGUGGCUGGUGGACAGACUAAAGUUGCUACAACCCUAAUAACACCAAGCCACAAGAAUACUGAUUUGUAAAAAUAACAAGCACAGAUCAAUUCUCCUGACAAGAAAUCGCCUACAGAGAAUCAUUAACUUUAUUGAACACCCGUCCCCUUUUUAAAGUCCUACUGUAUUUAGGGUUCAACUGGGUUGCCCUUGCCCCUUCUUUUACCUCUUCCUUUAAAAGGAAGUGUUCACAUCAAAUUAUUUUUGAAGAGAUCACCGAAACAAUCACACAAAAAAAAGUCAAGAAGACACAAUCAAGGAGUCAAGUUUAAAAGUAUCCACACAUCCAUCAUUCAAGCAGAAGGACCUGAUUUUUGUUUGGUCAACACCAGACCACACGUCACAAAUGUCCACGGUCACAAUGGAAAGCUCUCCACAAUACCCCGCUUUCGGUUAUAUUUAGUCAUACUUCAUAUUUUCAGGUGCGGUAAUUUAUGAUUUUAGACUGCUACGUUGGAUCCUCAA